rnacentral:rRNA from 1 species
UACGUAGGUGGCGAGCGUUGUCCGGAUUUACUGGGCGUAAAGAGUAUGUAGGCGGACAUUUAAGUAGAAAGUGAAAGGUUGGAGCUCAACUCUAACACUGCUUCCUAUACUGGAUGUCUUGAAGGCCGGAGAGGAAAGCGGAACGACACGUGUAGCGGUGAAAUGAGUUGAUAUGUGUCGGAAAACCAAUGGCGAAGGCAGCUUUCUGUAGGGUAGGUUUACCUUUAAAUUUGACGCUGAGAUACGAAAGCGUGGGUAGCGAACAGG